rnacentral:misc_RNA from 1 species
GAUGAAGAACGUAGCGAAAUGCGAUACGUAAUGUGAAUUGCAGAUCUCUCAGUGAAUCAUCGAGUCUUUGAACGCACAUUGCGCCCCCUGGUAUUCCGGGGGGCAUGCCUGUCCGAGCGUCAUUGCUGCCCUCAAGCACGGCUUGUGUGUUGGGCCUCCGUCCUCCUCCCGGGGGACGGGCCCGAAAGGCAGCGGCGGCACCGCGUCCGGUCCUCGAGCGUAUGGGGCUUCGUCACCCGCUCUUGUAGGCCCGGCCGGCGCUUGCCGACACAUCAAUCUUUUUUCCAGGUUGACCUCGGAUCAGGUAGGGAUACCCGCUGAACUUAAGCAUAUCAAUAAGCGGAGGA